rnacentral:rRNA from 1 species
UACGAGGGGGGCGAGCGUUGUUCGGAAUUACUGGGCGUAAAGGGCUCGUAGGCGGCCAACUAAGUCAGACGUGAAAUCCCUCGGCUUAACCGGGGAACUGCGUCUGAUACUGGAUGGCUUGAGAUUGGGAGAGGGAUGCGGAAUUCCAGGUGUAGCGGUGAAAUGCGUAGAUAUCUGGAGGAACACCGGUGGCGAAGGCGGCAUCCUGGACCAACACUGACGCUGAGGAGCGAAAGCCAGGGGAGCAAACGGG